AGUGAACGCUGGCGGUAGGCCUAACACAUGCAAGUCGAACGGCAGCACAGUAAUAGCUUGCCCUUACGGGUGGCGAGUGGCGGACGGGCGAGGAAUACAUCGGCAUCUACCUUUUCGAGGAGGAUAACGCAGCGGAACUUACGCUAAUACCGCAUACGACCUACGGGCGAAACCAGGGGAACUUCGGACCUUGCGCGAUUGAAUGAGCCGAUGUCCGAUUAGCUAGUUGGCGGGGUAAAGGCCCACCAAGGGGAGGAUCGGUGGCUGGUCUGAGAGGAUGAUGAGGCCCACUUGAGCUGGGGCACGGCCCCAAGUCCUACGGGAGGCAGCAGUGGGGAAUAUUGGACGAUGGGGGCAAGCCUAUUCCAGCCAUACCGCGUGGGUGAAGAAGGCCUUCGGGUUGUAAGACCCUUUUUUUGGGAAAGAAAGGCGGCAGGUUAAGACCCGGCUGUUCUGACGGUACCCAAAGAAUAAGCGCCGGCUAACUUCGUG
rnacentral:rRNA from 1 species